rnacentral:misc_RNA from 1 species
UGGAACCCAUUCUUGCAA